rnacentral:rRNA from 1 species
GACAGAGGGUGCAAACGUUGCUCGGAAUCACUGGGCGUAAAGGGCGUGUAGGCGGGCAUGUAAGUCGGGCGUGAAAUCCCUAGGCUCAACCUAGGAACUGCACUCGAAACUGCGUUUCUUGAGUGCCGGAGAGGAAAGCGGAAUUCCUGGUGUAGAGGUGAAAUUCGUAGAUAUCGGGAGGAACACCUGUGGCGAAGGCGGCUUUCUGGGCCCUACCUGACGCUGAGACGCGAAAGCGUGGGGAGCGAACCGG